GCCGCCGCAUGCCGCCGGAGUAGGUCGACGCCGGCUUGCGGCCCGCGUCGGCCAGGUCGAACUGUUCGAGCAGCUCGGCGGCGC
rnacentral:tRNA from 1 species